rnacentral:rRNA from 1 species
GAUGAACGCUGGCGGCGUGCCUAAUACAUGCAAGUCGAGCGAAUAGACGAGGAGCUUGCUCCUCUGACGUUAGCGGCGGACGGGUGAGUAACACGUGGAUAACCUACCUAUAAGACUGGGAUAACUUCGGGAAACCGGAGCUAAUACCGGAUAAUAUAUUGAACCGCAUGGUUCAAUAGUGAAAGACGGUUUUGCUGUCACUUAUAGAUGGAUCCGCGCCGCAUUAGCUAGUUGGUAAGGUAACGGCUUACCAAGGCAACGAUGCGUAGCCGACCUGAGAGGGUGAUCGGCCACACUGGAACUGAGACACGGUCCAGACUCCUACGGGAGGCAGCAGUAGGGAAUCUUCCGCAAUGGGCGAAAGCUUGACGGAGCAACGCCGCGUGAGUGAUGAAGGUCUUCGGAUCGUAAAACUCUGUUAUUAGGGAAAGAACAAAUGUGUAAGUAACUAUGCACGUCUUGACGGUACCUAAUCAGAAAGCCACGGCUAACUACGUG